rnacentral:misc_RNA from 1 species
AAUAGGCUGCUACUCUAAGCUCGCGCCACUUCUUCAAGAUCCACCCCUUCCUAGAUAGCUUUUGAUUUCUAGACGUCACUAGCUUCUUCCAUGACUAGGUUCAGCUUCAUUGCCAACACCUCCAAAAUCAUGUUUCACCCUUUUCGAGACAUCGGCAGCUUCAGAAAUUAUCGCCUUCACUAGCUUUUUGUUCCUGAUUUAUUGAGAUCAAGUACUUCCUGCACAUAUUCAUAGUUCACUUCUUGAAGACUCGCUGUACUCACAG